rnacentral:rRNA from 1 species
GAUUGAACGCUGGCGGCAGGCUUAACACAUGCAAGUCGAGCGGUAACAUUUCUAGCUUGCUAGAAGAUGACGAGCGGCGGACGGGUGAGUAAUACUUAGGAAUCUACCUAGUAGUGGGGGAUAGCACGGGGAAACUCGUAUUAAUACCGCAUACGUCCUACGGGAGAAAGGGGGCAACUUGUUGCUCUCGCUAUUAGAUGAGCCUAAGUCGGAUUAGCUAGAUGGUGGGGUAAAGGCCUACCAUGGCGACGAUCUGUAGCUGGUCUGAGAGGAUGAUCAGCCACACCGGGACUGAGACACGGCCCGGACUCCUACGGGAGGCAGCAGUGGGGAAUAUUGGACAAUGGGGGAAACCCUGAUCCAGCCAUGCCGCGUGUGUGAAGAAGGCCUUUUGGUUGUAAAGCACUUUAAGCAGUGAAGAAGACUCCACGGUUAAUACCCGUGGACGAUGACAUUAGCUGCAGAAUAAGCACCGGCUAACUCUGUGCCAGCAGCCGCGGUAAUACAGAGGGUGCAAGCGUUAAUCGGAAUUACUGGGCGUAAAGCGAGCGUAGGUGGCUUGAUAAGUCAGAUGUGAAAUCCCCGGGCUUAACCUGGGAACUGCAUCUGAAACUGUCAGACUAGAGUAGGUGAGAGGGAGGUAGAAUUUCAGGUGUAGCGGUGAAAUGCGUAGAGAUCUGAAGGAAUACCGAUGGCGAAGGCAGCCUCCUGGCAUCAUACUGACACUGAGGCUCGAAAGCGUGGGUAGCAAACAGGAUUAGAUACCCUGGUAGUCCACGCCGUAAACGAUGUCUACUAGUCGUUGGGUCCCUUGAGGACUUAGUGACGCAGCUAACGCAAUAAGUAGACCGCCUGGGGAGUACGGCCGCA